AGAGUUUGAUCCUGGCUCAGGACGAACGCUGGCGGCGUGCUUAACACAUGCAAGUCGAACGAUGAACACCGGAGCUUGCUCUGGUGGGAUUAGUGGCGAACGGGUGAGUAACACGUGAGCAAUCUGCCCCCGACUCUGGGAUAAGCGUUGGAAACGACGUCUAAUACCGGAUACGACACCUCCUGGCGUCAGGUGGGUGUGGAAAGAAUUUCGGUUGGGGAUGAGCUCGCGGCCUAUCAGCUUGUUGGUGAGGUAAUAGCUCACCAAGGCGACGACGGGUAGCCGGCCUGAGAGGGUGACCGGCCACACUGGGACUGAGACACGGCCCAGACUCCUACGGGAGGCAGCAGUGGGGAAUAUUGCACAAUGGGCGCAAGCCUGAUGCAGCAACGCCGCGUGGGGGACGAAGGCCUUCGGGUUGUAAACCCCUUUUAGCAGGGAAGAAGCGCAAGUGACGGUACCUGCAGAAAAAGCACCGGCUAACUACGUGCCAGCAGCCGCGGUAAUACGUAGGGUGCAAGCGUUGUCCGGAAUUAUUGGGCGUAAAGAGCUCGUAGGCGGUGUGUCGCGUCUGCUGUGAAAAUCCAAGGCUCAACCUUGGACCUGCAGUGGGUACGGGCACACUAGAGUGCGGUAGGGGAGAUUGGAAUUCCUGGUGUAGCGGUGGAAUGCGCAGAUAUCAGGAGGAACACCAAUGGCGAAGGCAGAUCUCUGGGCCGUAACUGACGCUGGGGAGCGAAAGCGUGGGGAGCGAACAGGAUUAGAUACCCUGGUAGUCCACGCCGUAAACGGUGGGAACUAGAUGUGGGGUCCGUUCCACGGAUUCCGUGUCGCAGCUAACGCAUUAAGUUCCCCGCCUGGGGAGUACGGCCGCAAGGCUAAAACUCAAAGGAAUUGACGGG
rnacentral:rRNA from 1 species